rnacentral:rRNA from 1 species
GCAGCAGUGGGGAAUUUUCCGCAAUGGGCGAAAGCCUGACGGAGCAACGCCGCGUGAGGGACGAAGGCCUCUGGGCUGUAAACCUCUUUUCUCAAGGAAGAAGAUAUGACGGUACUUGAGGAAUAAGCCACGGCUAAUUCCGUGCCAGCAGCCGCGGUAAUACGGGAGUGGCAAGCGUUAUCCGGAAUUAUUGGGCGUAAAGCGUCCGCAGGCGGCCUUUCAAGUCUGCUGUUAAAGCGUGGAGCUUAACUCCAUCAUGGCAGUGGAAACUGAUCGGCUUGAGUAUGGUAGGGGCAGAGGGAAUUCCCGGUGUAGCGGUGAAAUGCGUAGAUAUCGGGAAGAACACCAGUGGCGAAGGCGCUCUGCUGGGCCAUUACUGACGCUCAUGGACGAAAGCCAGGGGAGCGAAAGGGAUUAGAUACCCCUGUAGUCCUGGCCGUAAACGAUGAACACUAGGUGUCGGGGGAAUCGACCCCUUCGGUGUCGUAGCUAACGCGUUAAGUGUUCCGCCUGGGGAGUACGCACGCAAGUGUGAAACUCAAAGGAAUUGACGGGGGCCCGCACAAGCGGUGGAGUAUGUGGUUUAAUUCGAUGCAACGCGAAGAACCUUACCAGGGCUUGACAUCCUGCGAACCUUUAAGAAAUUAGAGGGUGCCUUCGGGAAUUCAGUGACAGGUGGUGCAUGGCUGUCGUCAGCUCGUGUCGUGAGAUGUUGGGUUAAGUCCCGCAACGAGCGCAACCCACGUUUUUAGUUGCCAGCAUUUAGUUGGGCACUCUAGAAAGACCGCCGGUGAUAAACCGGAGGAAGGUGUGGAUGACGUCAAGUCAUCAUGCCCCUUACACCCUGGGCUACACACGUACUACAAUGCUACGGACAAAG